UACGUAGGUGUCGAGCGUUGUCCGGAUUUAUUGGGCGUAAAGAGCCCGCAGGCGGCUUGGCAAGUUUGAGGUGAAAUCUCCCGGCUUAACUGGGAGGGGGCCUCGAAAACUGCCAGGCUUGAGGCAUGGAGAGGGAUGCGGAAUUCCCGGUGUAGUGGUGAAAUGCGUAGAUAUCGGGGAGGAACACCAGUGGCGAAGGCGGCAUCCUGGCCAUGUCCGUGACGCGUCAGGGGCGAAAGCG
rnacentral:rRNA from 1 species